AUUAGGUAUGGACAGACAAAAGUGUUUUCUAGAAUUUCACAUUCAUCUCAAAUAUUGAUACUACAGCCAUUUAUUCAUUUAUUAUAGGUAGGAGAAAAAAAUGAAAAUGUUAACUGUACUUUGGAGCAAGCUGAGAAAGUCUCCUCCUCAAUGCAAACCACCUUCCACUGAGGAGGAAUGAAAGUUGCAGGAGAAGGAGAGCUGAUUUCACCAAGAAGUCUUUUAACUCUCUUCAGGAAACACCUCUAGUUCAAGCAUUUUAAAAAAG
rnacentral:lncRNA from 1 species